GGGCCCGUGGUGUAGCCUGGUUCAACACGUCUGCUUGUCGAGCAGAAGAUCGUCGGUUCAAAUCCGAUCGGGCCCGCCC
rnacentral:tRNA from 1 species